rnacentral:rRNA from 1 species
GUGGGGAAUAUUGGACAAUGGGGGGAACCCUGAUCCAGCCAUGCCGCGUGAGUGAUGAAGGCCUUCGGGUUGUAAAGCUCUUUAGCCGAUGAUUAUAAUGACUGUAGUCGGAAAAUAAGCCCCGGCUAACUUCGUGCCAGCAGCCGCGGUAAUACGAAGGGGGCGAGCGUUAUUCGGAAUCACUGGGCGUAAAGCGUGCGUAGGCGGCUUUGCAAGUUGGGAGUGAAAGCCCAGGGCUCAACCCUGGAAUUGCUCUCAAAACUGCAAGGCUCGAAUUCGGGAGAGGAUAGCGGAAUUGUCAGUGUAGCAGUGAAAUGCGUAGAUAUUGACAGGAACACCAGUGGCGUAAGCGGCUAUCUGGACCGAUAUUGACGCUGAGGCACGAAAGCGUGGGGAUCAAACAGGAUUAGAAACCCCGGUAGUCC